rnacentral:tRNA from 1 species
GCCCCGAUAGUGUAGCGGACUAUCAUACAAGACUGUCGAUCUUGUGACUCGGGUUCAAAUCCCGAUCGGGGCG